UCUCGGAGACAAAGAGAAGAGGCUGAAGAACAGGUCGUGCAAGUGUGCCUGGCUUGUCCCCAACCACCUGGAGAUUUUAUGAGUAGAGCAUUUCAGUGACUGUUACAAGGCUAGUGGUUCUCAAGCUCCAGCUGCAGGAGACUCACCGGAGGGCUUGUUACAAACACCGAUUUCCAGGCCCCACCCCCAGAGGCUUGAUUGAGUAGGUCUGAGGCGGGGUCAAGAAUUUGCAUAGCUCACAAGUUUCCAGAUGAUGCUGAGGCUGCUGGUUAAGAACUGCAUUUUGAGAAUCCCAGCAUGGAAGUGGAUUGAAGACGUAACCCAGCCUCCAACUGCGAGCUCCGCCCCUGGAGACCGGGACAAGGGUUGCUGUGGAGAUCAAGGGAGUGAAUUCACCCAAAAUGUUUGAGUCUAACAUGUGGCAUAUGUAGGAAGAAAACAAGAGCUGGAGUACUCACCUUGGAUCCAGAGAUAGAAGAGCCAUUUUGAGGGUGGCCAGAGUUGCCCCACCAGCCCCAAACAACCUACCUCUUACCUCUUGCAUACAAAAAAAAUAAAUGAUCUUGUUUA